UACGUAGGGCGCGAGCGUUAUCCGGAAUUAUUGGGCGUAAAGAGCUCGUAGGCGGUUUGUCGCGUCUGCUGUGAAAGCCCGGGGCUCAACCCCGGGUCUGCAGUGGGUACGGGCAGGCUGGAGUGCAGUAGGGGAGACUGGAAUUCCUGGUGUAGCGGUGAAAUGCGCAGAUAUCAGGAGGAACACCGAUGGCGAAGGCAGGUCUCUGGGCUGUAACUGACGCUGAGGAGCGAAAGCGUGGGGAGCGAACAGG
rnacentral:rRNA from 1 species